rnacentral:rRNA from 1 species
UACAGAGACUGCAAGCGUUAUUCGGAUUCACUGGGCGUAAAGGGUGCGCAGGCGGCCGUGUGUGUGAGGCGUGAAAGCCUGGAGCUUAACUCCAGAAUUGCACCUCAAACUACAUGGCUAGAGCAUUGGAGAGGGUAGCAGAAUUCCCGGUGUAGCGGUGAAAUGCGUAGAUAUCGGGAGGAACAUCAGUGGCGAAGGCGGCUGUCUGGCCCAAUACUGACACUCAGGUGCGACAGCGUGGGGAGCAAACAGG